CCCCUUGCUUACCGAAGGCCGCUAGCAGCAACUCCCUGCCACCACCAUCGCGUAUUCUCCCUCCGUCUCAUUCUCCGGCCGAACAUUCACAGCCACUAGGUCGCCGCCUACAGCAGCAGGCCACCGGUGACCCUCCCUCAACACACACACAAUUAUUUGAACCACAAAAUAACAAAGCUAAUUUCAGUACGUCUAUUUAUCAGCUUCAGAUGGUUUAUAUGAUAUCCCCACCAAUUUCUGAACUCGAGGAUCCAUCAUCACUGAAAACACAACAUUAUAAACAUAUUAUCAAAAUAAAGGCAACGGCUUCAAACAAAAUGAAGAAGAAGAAGAACAAGAAGAAGACUCACCAGCUCCACAUGCUAUUGAAAAGAGGUUGCUGGUCAACCAAUAACAGUAUACAGCCUGCACAAAUGAGCAAUCUAAUUAUAUAUUGUUUAACAAUACCAAAGAAUUAAUAAAACCAUCAUUAAUUAGAGAGCUUAUGAUAAAGAAUGGUAAAGAAAGCCAUCAUUUAUGAAUCUCCCCACAUUUUAAAAGAGAUUUAAAUUUUGCGCUCCACUAACAACAAACAGAGCAAUCUUGCAAUACUUUACAUUUUACACUAUUGCUCUUGAAGAGCUUCACCGCACACUCUUCAAAAUCCUGACUCAAAAGGUACCGCACAGCACAGGAGACGAACGUUGAAGAAAGAAGGCAACUGCGUCGUAGUGAAAUGGAACGAAAUUCGACCUUCACACCGAUUUGUUCCCCAAUUUUACGCAACUUCGAUCUGAAAAGAAAAUAAAUAGUAGAUUAGAAGAAAAGAUCCGCUAUGAGCGCAAGAAUCUCAACAAGAAACCAAGUCACUCACCACCAACUUGCGCAACAAUCCGUGAAAAAGAACCCAAGCCCAAGCCCAUAAUCCCCAAAACAGAAAUCCCUAACCAUUUCCAACAUAACAUGCACACAUUUCCAAGUUCACCAUCAGAUCACAUCCUUGAAGCAAGAAAAAUCUUCCUAGAAUUAGCAAAAAUUAAAAGCAAACGUCAAAAUUGAAUGUUUUCAAGCGUAUCUUACUAGGGUUUUGGAAUCAGCCGAAGGGGGAAUCUCCAGAGGUUUUAGCUGUAGAGUAAAAGCUUUUAAGCUGAUAUGAUUUGAAAAU
rnacentral:lncRNA from 1 species